rnacentral:rRNA from 1 species
GACGGAGGGCGCGAGCGUUAUUCGUUUUGAUUGGGUGUAAAGGGUGUGUAGGUGGCGCCGUUAGUCGGGUGUGAAAUUUCGGAGCUUAACUCCGAAACUGCAUUCGAUACUGCGGUGCUUGAGGACUGGAGAGGAGACUGGAAUUCAUGGUGUAGCAGUGAAAUGCGUAGAGAUCAUGAGGAAGACCAGUGGCGAAGGCGGGUCUCUGGACAGUUCCUGACACUGAGACACGAAGGCCAGGGGAGCAAACGGG